rnacentral:rRNA from 1 species
UUCAUGAUUCAGACCUUGGUGAGUGGCGGACGGGUGAGUAACACGUGGGUAACCUGCCCAGAAGUGGGGGAUAACAUUUGGAAACAAGUGCUAAUACCGCAUAACAACUUAGAUCACAUGAUCUUUGUUUUAAAAGAAUGGUUUUGCUAUCUCUUCUGGAUGGACCCGCGGCGUAUUAGCUAGUUGGUGAGGUAAUAGCUCACCAAGGCGAUGAUACGUAGCCGACCCUGAGAGGGGUAAUCGGGCCCACAUUUGGGGGAACCUGAGACACGGCCCAAACUCC